GCUUAACACAUGCAAGUCGAGCGAGAAUCGUUUAUUGAAGGCUUCGGCUGGAAAUAGAUGAGGAAAGCGGCGAACGGGUGAGUAACGCGUGGGCAACCUGGCCUUAAGAAAAGGAUAGCCCCCGGAAACGGGGAGUAAUACUUUAUGAAAAUGAGAGAGGGCAUCCUACUUUCAUUCAAAGCGCAAGCGCUUAAGGAUGGGCCCGCGUAUCAUUAGCUAGUUGGUGAGAUAACAGCCCACCAAGGCAACGAUGAUUAGCCGGUCUGAGAGGGCGAACGGCCACAUUGGAACUGAGAGACGGUCCAAACUCCUACGGGAGGCAGCAGUGGGGAAUAUUGCGCAAUGGAGAAGAACUCUGACGCAGCAAUACCGCGUGAGCGAAGAAGGUCUUCGGAUCGUAAAGCUCUGUUAUCAGGGAAGAAGAAAAUGACGGUACCUGAUGAGCAAGUCCCGGCUAACUACGUGCCAGCAGCCGCAGUAA
rnacentral:rRNA from 1 species